rnacentral:rRNA from 1 species
AUUGAACGCUGGCGGCAUGCCUUACACAUGCAAGUCGAACGGCAGCGGACCUUCGGGUGCCGGCGAGUGGCGAACGGGUGAGUAAUAUAUCGGAACGUACCUUUCAGUGGGGGAUAACGUAGCGAAAGUUACGCUAAUACCGCAUAUUCUGUGAGCAGGAAAGCAGGGGAUCGCAAGACCUUGCGCUGAUUGAGCGGCCGAUAUCAGAUUAGCUAGUUGGUGAGGUAAAGGCUCACCAAGGCGACGAUCUGUAGCGGGUCUGAGAGGAUGAUCCGCCACACUGGAACUGAGACACGGUCCAGACUCCUACGGGAGGCAGCAGUGGGGAAUUUUGGACAAUGGGCGCAAGCCUGAUCCAGCCAUGCCGCGUGAGUGAAGAAGGCCUCGGUUGUAAGUACGUCUUUCGGUCCGGGAA